CAUAAUUAACCCACGCAACGACGAGCUACGCAAAUAGUAACCCCCAACAAAUGUGAGCCACUCUCAUACUUACAUUGCUAGAAAUACGUGCUGAGUUAACGUGCCUGCAUCAAUCAGAAUUUCUUCAUUUUAAUCAACAUUUCAAUUCAUUCUCCUUGGUUGAACAUAUCCAGGAUGGCAACAAAUCCACGCUUUGCUCUUCUCCAAGGUAAAACUUCGCGGCAUUUUUCUACACACCAGGGGAUUUUUCGACCUGACAAGAGAGCAGUGAAUUAGCAAUCAGUAUAUUUGGGGAGUAAUGUCUUAUCGACACAAUUAAUAUCAUUAGUGGGCAGUAAAAGAUUUAUGAAUCUCACAUUACAAUUUGGUUAAAUGUAUUUUUGGGAGGCGUAUUGUGUCAACCUAAACAUGUUGUCAAUAGCACUGUAAUAUUGCUUGUUUUAGCUAGAUGAGAUUUGUAAGGGCCAAGCUCAUAAAUAGUAUAGGUUAACCAGUACCACAACGUACACAGAAUAGUGUACAAUCAAACCUUGGUUGAAUUUUUCGGUAUUUAUGAUGUUGACACGAAAUGGGUUGUUAGAUUUGAAUUAAUUGAAAGUCAUUAAAUUUGACUUCUUUUGCUUAAUGUUCGGUUCAUGGUCAAAAUCUUUUAAAUAAAUCGAUGGUAUAUCGUAGCUAAUUAACCGGUUGUCUCACUGAUGUUCAUUGUCAAAGUGUUAUGAAGGUAUUCAGGAUUUUUAUUGGUUUACUAGGGAACACUACACGCGGUAAAACGCUUGUAUAUUUUCAAGUUUAGCUUAUAUUGUUGAAAUUCUCUGUGUUCUCCAUAUAUUUAUGCUAAUAGCUGGCAGCUUCCUUGGAAUUUAUUGUGAGAGAGCAAUCAUGCAUGCUAAAUGAUCCCGCGGUUUCGAAUACAGGGUCUAAAGUAUGGUCAAUUGGAAGGGACCUUUUCACACUUUUGGCGCAAUAAAUAAGUUCACGAGCGAAGUAGCGAGAUGUUUUUUUGACCUGCUUGUUUCGUAUACGACUGUUGGCAAGUUCAAAAGACUUUGACGUUUCGGAAGUGACUGAAUUAUUUUCCUAAGUGAAUUCCAUUAGAAUUAUCAAAGACGAAUUCCAAUGAAUAUAACGUCGAUUAAAUUGGCUGCCAAAACGUUUCUGACUUCAUCACGGUCUAAAAAUCUUUUAUGUUUGCGUUGCAUACUUUGAAUAGAAAGGUACUUUACUUAAUAAGGACCAUUACUCCCUUAACGUAACUUAUUCCCACUGCUGACGAACGGCUCAAAAUGUCACAAUUUUAUGGCUGAAAAGGUCGACAAAUACAUAGUCACUUAAGAUGUUUUAAUUUAUAUUUAAGCGGAUUAUUCUCAAUGUAUAUAAAAGUUGAUAUACAGGUUCUUUGUGGUAGUUUGUAAAACAAUUGUAAAACAGUUUACAACUGUAAAAGUAGUGCAUAGAACACUGAAGUUCAGAACUGAAACCAUAACCAUAGGCAUAGCCAUAUAGGCUCUUCAUCAUGACAGAUGAGAAGGGUCUGUUUUUUUCGAGUGAAUAGGUUUUUUCUUAGCGUAGGUAGCAUCUGAUAUUUGCUCACAGAAAAAAUAAAUCUAAAAAAAAUCAACGACAACGUAUUAUAUUAACCCCAGGCUUAAAUAUCGAAGAAAAAUUCUGAGAGUAAAAAAACCCCUUAAUUUAUUUACUUAUUUAAAUUUGCCACAUAACUUAGUGACAGGGACAUCGUCAUAACAGAAUAUAUACCAAUUCUGUCUAGCGCUAAUCAAGUUUAAUCGUAAGUAAGAGAGAAAUACGAAACAGUUAUUAAACAUGAAUCACAAUCAUCAGUAAGUUAAAUAAUACCUCUGCAGAGUUCCAGCUAUAAGCAACCUGAGGAUCAUAUCAUAAAACCACAUGCAUCACAUGUGUGCUGUGCCAAAAAAUUGAUGAAACAUGAGAACUUGAUACAUUUACAGCGUACUAUACAGUUUACACAAAAUAAAAUGAUGCCUUUUCAUGAUGGUUUUCAAAAUAAUCUAGUGAAACUUCUUGUUAAAAAGUUUGUUUUCCUUACGAAUACAUAAAGCAGUUUGCAGCAAAAUACACUUUACCACAGAUUUGGCGUGGAACUUGUUUUAAAAUUUAUACAAAUAUAUAGAGACAUAUUUUUGAGGUAGUUUCGAAAAAGGUUUCCAGGCAUUGGGUUUUACAUCAAUUGGUUAAAUUUUUAGAUUCCUAUGAGCAUGAGCUGGGUGCCAUAAUAAUGCAUUAAUGGUUACAAAUUCAACAAGUUUAUAUUUCUAUCUGAAUCUCAUGUACAUAAAGAACUUUAACAUCGUCUUCUUCACACAUGCACUGAAGAUGUCCAUGACACUUCAUGAAGAUGUCCACGCGACAGAACUUUAACAUCUUCUUUUUCACAUAUCCAUUGAAGAUGUUCACGACAGUUUUCGCCUGAUAAUUUUUGGUUCAUUUAUACUUCUUAUCGAAUUUUGUGCUGUAAUGGAGUGAAAUGACGACAAAUGGGAUGGUAAUGAUCAGCAAUAAAGGAUAUUACUUAUUAUCGCUAGAUCUGUAUCGCAAAAACUCGAUUACAAUUCACGACAGUUCUAUAGUCAUUGACUAAAUCAGAGUUUAAUCGUGCAUGUAUGCAGGCAAAGGAUACUAUAUGACAGUGUGUCUUCCAUUAAAAUUUAUGUCUUUGCAUGAGAAGACUUUUGAAAAGUCAGAUUUAAUCACAUGAUUGCUGUACUUUAAGUUUAAGAGUCUUCUUUUCAAAGUUUUAAUUACGUGGGUGUGACGUCAUUGGAGUGUUAUCGAAAAACGAUAAAAAUACGUUGGCUUGAAACGAGAGUUCAAUAUAUAAGUGUUGUCAUGAUCAAUAGUAUAAUUUAGCUAGGUCACUGGGAUCUCAGGUAGCGAUGGGUAAAAAACGCAUAUUUUGCGGUAAAAUUGUUAGUCUAUAAACAUGGUAACUUAUCAAGUUUAGAGUGAUAAGAAUCUACGGCAAAAGAGAUGGUCUCGAGAUCGCAACGUAAAUCUGAAAGUGACAGCACAAUGAGACGUGUCAACUUUUCCCUCGCUAAUUAUUUUACUCAAUAUGCAGCUUGUUUAUAAACAUGGGAAUAUUUUCCAGGAAUCUUGUAUGGAUCAAUAUAGACGUUUUAUUUUCCAAAGUUUUCAACAGACGUGCUUCUAUAUACACAGACCAAAUCACUGAAAUCAGCAGGUUAAAUUUAGAUCCAGGGUUAGCGCUAAUCCAGUUUUGAACAACCUGGCCCUGUGUAUUUUGGGCAUGCAAACUCAUGAGGUGCAAAUGCAAACACGUAUAAAAUUUAAGGUGAAAUGGUAUGAUUUUAGUUGUCAAUGGAAAAGCCUAACUAUCAAUCAUAAUGCAUGGGGUAAAUCCUUCCGUCCAUACAUGAAUUGAAAUUACGAGUAAGUUUAUUACUGCAAACGUUAAUACUAUAUUUAUCACAACGUGUUUUACGUAGUGUUUCCACAAACAAAAGUUUAUAUGUAAGUUAUCGCCAUGCAAACCUACAAAGAACUUACCAGUAGUAAGUUAUUACAUUCAAUUUUAUAAAAGUAUAGUCUACAUGCACCUACAGAUAUUCGUAUAACCAGCUAAAUAUUAUGUUGAAAGAAACCAACUCCCACGUUUCAAAUAGAGAAAAACGAAAGAAGUCAAUUCCCUAUGUAACAAUUAAAAUUUUUUUAUGAUUGAUGUAGUGGCGUUAAUAUAUCACUGAUUCACUAUAAUUGCACCUAACAAUAUAAUUUGCAAAUUUAACGUUCCUCAUUUUCCAAGCAUUAUAACUAACAUAAAGCAGUCUUUCAUUGUUUCUGAUACUGAUACUUCCACAAAGCUUUGUUUCUUUGAUAAAGUGAUAAGUAUACAUUUUACUAAAUGUCACUACCGUCAAAUGUAUAGGUUUUUCACUUUCUAUAAUGGCUGUUCACCUUCAUGCACUCAUGAGUUAGAUAUGUAUUUGCACGAAAGAACCUGAUAAGGUUCUUAGAAAAAAAUUAAACAAAUUAGACAAAUAGAAAGAAAACCUUAACCUGGAAAAAAAUAUCCCGCACAACCAAAUCCCCAGAAAAAAUUCGUGCACAUCUUUUGGAACAAUUUUAAAGUUAAAUAUGCAUGGCUAUUACUGUCAAAUGGUCUCCCAGAAUGCUGGAAUUAGCCAUUCCCGAGAGGUAUAGAUUUUCAAAAUGAGUGCGGAUUGAAAAUAUUGUUUGAACGUUCUUAACAACAGGAUGUAAUCCAUCUGAUUGUUCUAGAAGCCAAGAUCAAAUGCUGUUCAUUAUAUAUGUGAGGUUUAAAAAUAUAGACUCGCAAAAAAUAUCCUGCAAGCAGUCAGGGCGAAAGAAAAAAUUAAUUGCAAGUAAAAAAUAUCCUGCACAGAAAAUCGCCCCCCCCCCCCAUAAAAAAUCGAAUGGUCCGUCCCUAAUCCUCACAUGAUGCGAGGUAUUUAAUUGAAGAACGAAACUCCUGGAUUAGACAUGUUGACUCAAGUCGUGUAGUGUACUUUAAGUCGUUUGUUUAAUUGCUUCAAUAUCUUGAUAUGUAAUCCCACAUGAAUAAUUGCAUAUACAUUGCGCCUAAAUAAUUUUGUGUUUUUAAUUUAAAUCAAGGAUCACACAAGAGGUUUUUGAUAAUACUUUUAUUUUAGCUACGUUUCGGAUACGGUUUACUAUCCGUCCUCAGGCUAACAAAUUGUCCUAUUGUUCUAGAACAAUUUGUUAGCCUGAGGACGGAUAGUAAACUAUCCGAAACGUAGCUAAAAUAAAAGUAUUAUCAAAAACCUCUUGUGUGAUCCUUGAUUUAAAUUAAAAACACAAAAUUAUUUAAUAUGAACAGAGGUGAAAGUUUCAGAAAAGCAAUUACAUUGCGCCUGUUUUAAAGAAUCAUUUUCGAAAUACACGGAACUGGAAAAUAGCCUAAUAGUUGAAUGAAACUCUAUUGGUGCUAUAAGCUUAAAUUGAAAGUAUUUUCGAGUUCCUCUAUUGUUCAAGGAAAUGGGUGAACGUACGUGUUUCAACUUCAAGAAUGCAGUAUUUUUGGCGUGUAUAAUCGGAUUACAGUGAAAUCGUAUUGUCAUUGUCAUUGAACCCGUCAAGUCCAAAACGUGUUGGAAAUCGGUUUAAAAUUGCGGGUGACUUUCUUCCAAAAAUAAAUAUCCCAAACGAAUGACAUCACGAUUUUGGUUUACAGUUGUUUAGAACAUCGGUGGUCGUGGUGUUUUUCAGGUGUUUAUUUUUUUUGGUUGAUGUUACUCUGAGUAUUUCCACACCUGCAUGUAGGCAAGCUGAUUUCCAUUGCUUGGCCGCGAUGGGAAUCGAACGUGCGAAUUUUGGCUUGCCAGUCCAGAUACCCACCGCGGUCAAGCACCUUUGCUGCCGGGUGUGAAGACACUCAGGAUAAUAUCAAAGAAAAAAAUCAAGAAUUUUCCUUAUUUUAUGCAGUAACCCAACUCUCGACUCUCGUGCGGUCAUCACGUAGCAUGCCAAAGCGCCUAGGUAUCUUUCUCUGAUCCAUCCUCGGUUCCCAGGGCCUCCGAGGGUGUCUCUGAUCCGUUAAUUAUAACACAAUCACUGAAAAUACUAUCCUAAAACGUAUCUUGUCUUCCUGUUUUGUAAAGCUAUUUUAUUUUUAGUUAAUACAAACGUCCAUGAUUGCUAGAAAUAGUAACUCUCCCCCUCCUCUAGUACAAUGUACGUGUUGGUUAAUUCAAACGAUAUAGGACCGUACCACGAGGCAACAUUGUAAACGGGGAAGGGGAAAAUUUGUGAAAUUUUUCUAUAGACUAUCACGAAUUAAUUUCAAUGAUUGCACUAAUGGGGUGUGCUCGAGGCGCAGUUCUGAGCAAAAUGUGCGUUUCACCUGGACGACAGGGAUUCAAGUUGUCUUCGGCAUGAGUGGACACCGCUCUCCGUGUUUUCCACCAUACCCCAUGCUAACAAAAGGAGUUGACUCAUGUCACAUGCAGGUUUUCUCCGGUACUCCGUAAAGGCCGGUUUCCACUAGGCGGAAUUUUCCGCGCGAAGCGGAAUUUUUCUUUGUCUUGUGAUUUCUCGGGUGGACCUAAUUAAAAAAGACAACGAGAAAUUCCGCUCCACGCGGAAAAUUCCACCUAGUGGAAAAUGGCCUUUACUAAACCUCUAGGAAGAACAGUUCGAACUGGGUUGGACUAACCUGUCUAUAAAAAGAUUAGUUUAGUUUGAUAAACUGAUUGGAAACGCAUUUGUCUUUGGGUCACAUCAGCUCUUUUUUCCAUAGUAUAGCAGCGAUUUGCGAACGUCAUUCUUUCCUAACGUAAAGAAAAAUAUUGUCAGGCAUUAAAAUAGCGUGUCCUUGUACACACUUUGUGUCCUUGUAAAAGGCGAAUGUGCCCUUGUAAAUUGGAAAGUGUGUACUUGAAAAUAUAUUAAACUGAAAAUAUAUUAAUGUAAUACACGCAAAAUGGCCAAAGAUUUUGCAAAUUCUGUUCUCAGAACUCUGGAAAUGCCAUUUCAGAGACCCGCUUAAAAGCUCGCGUCUUCGACGUUAAACUUGUGAGUUGUGGCUUCGCCACUCGUUCUCAUGAGUCUGCACAUUUAUACAAAAAAUACGCCUCUGAAGGCAAAGUGUGUCCUUGUAAAAAUUCCGUAUUUUAAUGCCUGAAUAUUGUAUACUAUAUAAGUAAAUGUUAUACUACUCUUUCUUAUUACUUCCAAAUGCAAAAUUGUGGGAAAACGGACUUUCUUUGGGGUACAAAAAACUUCAGAAGAUUACGUCAUCCUCUGCGUCUACCGGAAUACCCGCCUAUCACUGCGCCCAUCUUCAUUCGGAAACCCUUAUUUUUUCCCUGUUUCUUUCGCAGAUGUAACACGUGAUCUCAUAGCUUCAAGUACUUUGGCGGCAUUUCAACCCAGCAUAAAUGGUAAGUCAUGGC
rnacentral:lncRNA from 1 species